AACCAUAGAAGCGAACUCCCACUCCUGGUAUUGGAGCCUGCAAUGCAGGCAAAUUUUUAGUAUUAAAAAUAACUUAUCCACUGUUCACUAUCUCAUCUCUACCCCGCCUUUUCUUUCAUUCAGUUCGUCUCUCAAUGACGAAAUGAUAUUUCCUUAUCAAGACAGUGAGCUAAUUGAAACUUGCCCCACCGUUGGUGUGAUAGCAACGCUGUUACAUCCGCUUUCCCCGUUCUGACAGAAUUUUCGGUGAAUUAUCUUUCCCUGGUGAUAAUUCACUGCCUGAGGCAUGAUUGGAGACCAUGAUCCCCCCAUAUCAAAAAUUGUAAUGCAUCCCCAGAAAUCCCAUCACGGAAAGUCCGCUUUAGCGUGAGGUGGGCGCAAGAAAUUUCGUUACGCCAAAUCGCAGGUUAACAGAAGCAAUGAAUAUCCAAAAUGCAGCAUAAUUCCAUACCUCUGUGGUCCGAUCACCCAUCGUUACAUAUCGCGAAUUCGUUGUCAGGUCUCAUUCACCCCCUUCUCUCAAGCCUAUCAUAACAAAUCGAUGGCAUCGAUAAUGGGGAAAAUGGGAAUAGCAUGCAAGUUGGACAAACCCUUCCCUACCCCUCAAGUUCCUCUCCCCAGCAGCCGAACACAUUCGAUCUGAGGUGCAUGGGCUCUUAGUUUGUAUUCGCAAGAGCUAUCGGGAUGUCCCCUACAAUCAUUGUUGCACGUCCCCUUUAAGGCGUACCCCCGUUUCCCCGACCCUGGCUGUUAUGGAAUUCCAUUGUAGGGUCCUCCUAUUAGCUGACUCGACCACCGAAGCCUGCUGAAAAUGCCUGCAGUGUGUAAGAACGCUUCCGGAUAGAACUCUUGCCAUUUCUUUUUUUUCUUUUCUUUUCUUUUCUUUCCUUCCCCCCCAUCUAAGGGUUGGGGGAACAUAAUAUUCAGUAUAUGGUUGAUAGCAGAAGUUCUUAGUGUUUAGGCCAGGUUAUAUAACAGGUACAAGAUUUUUGGGCUUAAACCUCUCACUCCAAUAUCUUGAUAACUGCGCUUACUCAUUGCCUCCUGGGGUUAGAUCGCUUCCUACCACGAUCGUUUAUAUUUAGCAGCUAGUUUGGUGUGGAUUCAUGAUUGAGAAGUGGUUGGUAUACAAUCAAGGAAGCAUUGUUCAAACUGCCUAUUAUGAAUGUCACUUAUUAUCAAUUUUAUAUCAUCGUGGCCUGAGAGUUUCCUAUCAUAAAAUUAUGGCUUUAAUCGAGAAAAAAAAGUAUGUCCUACGCCGGAGCUGGCAUAAUUACUGCUAACUGAUAGGGUCGAGUUGGGCGAGGGUCCUCUAAAUCAACUUGAUAGUGAGAGGAUUGAAAUGAAACUUAAUUCAUUCGUCGCGAUUAACUAGUUAUAGAUAGUAGACGAAAAUAAAUCCUGCU
rnacentral:sRNA from 1 species